rnacentral:rRNA from 1 species
GGUUUAGAACGUCGUGAGACAGUUCGGUCCCUAUCUGCCGUGGGCGCUGGAGAACUGAGGGGGGCUGCUCCUAGUACGAGAGGACCGGAGUGGACGCAUCACUGGUGUUCGGGUUGUCAUGCCAAUGGCACUGCCCGGUAGCUAAAUGCGGAAGAGAUAAGUGCUGAAAGCAUCUAAGCACGAAACUUGCCCCGAGAUGAGUUCUCCCUGAGACUUAAAGUCUCCUGAAGGAACGUUGAAGACGACGACGUUGAUAGGCCGGGUGUGUAAGCGCAGCGAUGCGUUGAGCUAACCGGUACUAAUGAACCGUGAGGCUUAACCUUACAACGCCGAAG